CCUACGGGAGGCUGCAGUAGGGAAUAUUGGUCAAUGGACGAAAGUCUGAACCAGCCAUGCCGCGUGCAGGAUGACGGCCUCUGGGUUGUAAACUGCUUUUGUGGAAAACACGGUACCUGAAGAAUAAGGAUCGGCUAACUCCGUGCCAGCAGCCGCGGUAAUACGGAGGAUCCAAGCGUUGUCCGGAUUUAUUGGGUUUAAAGGGUGCGUAGGCGGAUAUGCAAGUCAGAGGUGAAAGCUAGCAGCUUAACUGUUAAAUUGCCUUUGAAACUGCAUAUCUUGAGUAUAGUUGAGGUGGGCGGAAUGUAUCAUGUAGCGGUGAAAUGCUUAGAUAUGAUACAGAACUCCGAUUGCGAAGGCAGCUCACUAAGCUAUACUGACGCUGAGGCACGAAAGCGUGGGUAGCGAACAGGAUUAGAUACCCUUGUAGUC
rnacentral:rRNA from 1 species